UCGUUGAAACACUGGUUCUCUUAUUACCACCGAAGUUAAGCAGGAUCAGGCCCGGUCAGUGUCUAGAUGGGUGACCGCUUGAGAAUACCAGGUGCUGUAAG